rnacentral:rRNA from 1 species
UACGGAGGGAGCGAGCGUUGUCCGAAGUUACUGGGCGUAAAGCGCGCGUAGGCGGGGGAUUAAGUGAGAAGUGAAAGGCUGGGGCUCAACCCCAUGCAGUGCUUCUCAUACUGGUCCUCUUGAGGGUGGUAGAGAGAAGUGGAAUGGCUGGUGUAGCGGUGAAAUGCGCAGAUAUCAGGAAGAACACCAAUGGCGAAGGCAGCUCUCUGGGACGGUACUGACGCUGAGACGCGAAAGCGUGGGGAGCGAACAGG